rnacentral:rRNA from 1 species
UGAGGAAUAUUGGUCAAUGGACGAGAGUCUGAACCAGCCAUGCCGCGUGAAGGAUGAAGGCGUUCUGCGUUGUAAACUUCUUUUAUCUGGGAAGAAACCUCUUUUUUCUAAAGGAGCCGACGGUACCAGAGGAAUAAGCACCGGCUAACUCCGUGCCAGCAGCCGCGGUAAUACGGAGGGUGCAAGCGUUAUCCGGAUUUACUGGGUUUAAAGGGUGUGUAGGCGGACUUUUAAGUCAGCGGUGAAAUCUCCGGGCUCAACCCGGAAACUGCCAUUGAUACUAUUAGUCUUGAAUAUUGUUGAGGUAGGCGGAACGGGUCAUGUAGCGGUGAAAUGCAUAGAUAUGACCCGGAACACCGAUUGCGAAGGCAGCCUACUAAGCAAUUAUUGACGCUGAGGCACGAAAGCGUGGGGAUCAAACAGGAUUAGAUACCCCCGUAGUCC